rnacentral:rRNA from 1 species
GACGAACGCUGGCGGCGUGCUUAACACAUGCAAGUCGAACGGAAAGGCCCUGCUUUUGUGGGGUGCUCGAGUGGCGAACGGGUGAGUAACACGUGAGUAACCUGCCCUUGACUUUGGGAUAACUUCAGGAAACUGGGGCUAAUACCGGAUAGGAGCUCCUGCUGCAUGGUGGGGGUUGGAAAGUUUCGGCGGUUGGGGAUGGACUCGCGGCUUAUCAGCUUGUUGGUGGGGUAGUGGCUUACCAAGGCUUUGACGGGUAGCCGGCCUGAGAGGGUGACCGGCCACAUUGGGACUGAGAUACGGCCCAGACUCCUACGGGAGGCGGCAGUGGGGAAUAUUGCACAAUGGGCGGAAGCCUGAUGCAGCAACGCCGCGUGCGGGAUGACGGCCUUCGGGUUGUAAACCGCUUUCGCCUGUGACGAAGCGUGAGUGACGGUAAUGGGUAAAGAAGCACCGGCUAACUACGUG